rnacentral:sRNA from 1 species
UAGGUAAAAUGUAGCAUUGCUAUAUCCU